UACGGAAGGCAGCAGUGGGGAAUAUUGCACAAUGGGCGCAAGCCUGAUGCAGCCAUGCCGCGUGUAUGAAAAAGGCCUUCGGGUUGUAAAGUACUUUCAGUCGUGAGGAAGGUGUUAAGGUUAAUAACCUUAGCAAUUGACGUUAGCGACAGAAGAAGCACCGGCUAACUCCGUGCCAGCAGCCGCGGUAAUACGGAGGGUGCGAGCGUUAAUCGGAAUUACUGGGCGUAAAGGGCACGCAGGCGGUUAAUUAAGUUGGAUGUGAAAUCCCCGGGCUAACCUGGGAAUGGCAUUCAAGACUGGUUAGCUAGAGUCUUGUAGAGGGGGUAGAAUUCCAUGUGUAGCGGUGAAAUGCGUAGAGAUGUGGAGGAAUACCGGUGGCGAAGGCGGCCCCUGGACAAAGACUGACGCUCAUGUGCGAAAGCGUGGGGAGCAAACAGGGAUUAGAUACC
rnacentral:rRNA from 1 species